rnacentral:lncRNA from 12 species
GGAACUCUUGGCUCCAGAGCUAGAGAUUUGUUCCUCCUAUCACUCUGGCGAUGCAUGGCCUCUAGGAAACAAAGGCCUCAAAGGGCAAACAGCUUUAUACUGAGUCCAGCUACAUGGCAAGGUGCAGUACAUCUCUGCCCAGGCACAGACACCUGAGAAUCAGCAGAACAGUCACCUCCUGCAGAUGAAGACUGGGAAAAAGAGGGGAAAAAACAACUUUACUGACCAAAUGCAUUGGAAAUCUCCAAGACUGAUGGAAAAUAUUAUACAGAACUAAAGGCUUUUUUUUUUCUUAUGAUUUGUUUAUCUUUCAGGUUAAACAUUUCCAAUAUUCUUUCCUCUUUCCUACCUUAACUACAAUAUUUUAUCAACUCUUCAUUUCUAAGUUUUUCCCUUUUUGACUUUAAUAUUUUUACAAUUACAUUUCAUAGAUAUAUUCUUGAUUUUUGGCUUCCUUUUAACGUAGCCAAUUUAAUUUUUGUAGAUAAUAAGUUAUGGGGGUUUUUAGGGCUUGUUUUUAUUUGUAUUUGGAAUUUAGUACCUUCUAACAUAUGGAUUAAAAUACAUCCAGUACCAAGUGGAGCACCAUGUUGCCCAGCGGGUGGCACCACCAAAUCCACAACCUGGAUGACACUAUUUUCAUCAACUACAACUGGGUCAAUGGUUGUAACUUGGCCAAUAUGUGGCACUUCCUAUAGCAAGAGCUCCGUGCUGUGCAGCAGGAGGUCAUCAUGCGGUCCUGCUCUGGGAUCAAUUUUGAAGAAUUUUACCAUUUCCUAAAGAUCAUCGCUGAAAGGAGGCUCCUCCUCCUGGCCAAAGGGACAGGCCAUGGUGAAGUGGAGGACAGUUAGGACACUGGGCUGGGCCCCCAGCAGGCUGCUUUUGAUGUCAGCCAGAUUGCAGAGGUGCUGGCAUAUGUGGUGGCCCACCCGGACUUCCAGAGACUGGACACUAGUAUGUUCUUUCUGCAGCCAGAGGAGCUCUUGCAGCAGCUGGAAGAAGUCAUGGUCA